UAGCCGUAAACGAUACUCGCUAGGUGUCGGCCACGGUGCGACCGUUGUCGGUGCCGUAGGGAAGCCGUGAAGCGAGCCACCUGGGAAGUACGGCCGCAAGGCUGAACUUAAGGAAUUGGCGGGGGAGCACCACAACGGGUGGAGCCUGCGGUUUAAUCGGACUCAACGCCGGGAAUCUCACCGGAUAAGACAGCUGAAUGAUAGUCGGGAUGAAGACUCUACUUGACUAGCUGAGAGGAGGUGCAUGGCGUAGUCGUGU
rnacentral:rRNA from 1 species